UGAUCAUUUCAUUCUUUACCUUUCAUGAUGAUUGUCGAUUAGAGCACUAUGAAUUGUUGCCGACACUCGAUCGACCGACAGCAGAAACUUAAUUCCUUUCCUCUCUAUUUCUCUCUCGUUUCCUCUCGUCACAGUCGAAGAAACAAAACAGAGCUUUGUUCAUCGUGCUGCACCGUCCACCACAGACCACCAAACAACCUCAGACCACCUUCCACGGCUUCGCCUCGACCUUGCGCAGCUACCGGAGGUAACCUUGCGCGGCGGCACGACCGGCAGCGACGGCGGCGACCCCGAGUCCGGUUUAGCUCGUUUUCGUUCCAAACUCGAUAUCUCGAGCUACAGAGCACCAUUUCACUUGAUUCUUGGCUCAUUGAGCUCGCCUCAUCUUCCUAUACAAGCACCAAGAAGGAUCGGAACUGGAUUGAACGUUUUCACGUUCGUCGGAGCUCGACCCGUGCGGAUCGAACAACCAACCUUCGGAUCAAGAUAUCUCGAGCUAUACACGAUCGUUUCUUGUGAUUCUUGGCUUGUUGAGUUCAUAAGGAAGUUCUGAACAAUUCUCUAGAAGGAAUCGAAGCCUGAAAUUGAAGUUUUGACGUCGAAAUCAAGCCUUGCCGGAUUCUGCAAAAUUCUGGAAUUUUUCCGACCACCGAAGCUUUCGAUCGGUAUAUCUCGAGCUACAGACCAUAUUUUUCUGUGAUUCUUGAACCAGUGAGUUCUUCUUGAGUUUCUUAACAACUCUUCAGAAGGAAUCGAAGCCUUAAAUUGACGUUUUUACGUUGAAUUGGAGCUCGCCGUUUUCUGCAGUUUCUCGCCGGUUUCUGGAAAAUUCCGGCCACCUUCAUACUGUUCAAGGUGGUUGAUGGAUUGAUUGGUGAACGAUUUCGGAUCGUUGUUUUGAGCUGUUAAGAAGACGCAGCGGGAAUUUAGAGCGGGUAAUCCUACAGGACAGGAGAACCAGGACGGUGAUCGUGCGGUUAGAGCAAUGGUUAUAGUUUUACAGCAAUUGUAAUAGUGAGGCGAGUUAAGCGCAUUUGAGCAUUACAAUUUGAUUUGGUGGGAGUGUGCUGUAAUAAAUAACUUGAGGAUUUGGGUUAUUGUAAAUUUGAGAGUUGUGAAGUGUGGUUGUUUGUGAGAAAAAAAUUCAGGAUGUUAGUUGUAAUUUGUUAUUAUUCAUGUUUCGGAUUUGAAUUGAUUAUUCAAAAUUCGGGGCGUGACAGUUUGGUAUCAGAGCGUAAGGUGCAUAUUUGGUGAUGUGUCAAUACCUUCCGAGUGAUGGCCCGUCUGCAGCGGAUCCCCAUCGUGUGCUCUUCGGUAUUGGCUAAGUCAUUGGGUAUGCGUGAGUGUUGGGAGUUGUUUAGACCGCUAGGUCGUUUUAGGAACGUGAAUACCUUCCCUAUAGUAUUGACUUGGUUAAUAUGAAUUUGUAUUUGACUUAUACUGUGUUUUAAGUGUUAUACAUGUAUUAGCCAAGCAUACUAUACUCCUUAGGUGAUGGAUAUUCGAAGGGGUUGUACUUAGAACCUUACAGUUGUCUUGUAGGUUCGUAUGGGAAUAAGUUCAGUGGCCGCGAGUUACAAUCCUUGAGGAAUAGGAACCUCUUGAUUCAACUCUGUUAAGUCAACGAGGAUUGUUUUAUGGAAGUGAGGUUCUUUUGGAUGUUGAAGUGUUUGGUUGAAGGCAUGAUGUGGACCUAUGCACAUACCUAGUGUGGAUACGAGUAUUAAUGGAUAGAAAGUUUGCCUUCUUAAGUUGGACGUACAUAUGUUUUUGGAUGAGAUAUACAUGUCAAAUAAUAGAUAUCUUGUUUUGUAACGAGAUGUCUUAGUGGGGUUUUAGUAAUUGGCAUGGGUGAUGUGUUUAAAGUGGCUUUGAGAUAACUAUGCUAAUCUUGUGUGAGAUUGAGUUAUUAGUAUAGAUUGAGAAGGUUUUGUAGUGACGCUAUAUACACAACGUGAUGAACUUUUAGAAGGAAAAGUUAUGAGUAAAGGUAUGGGUUUUUCCCUGAUGUCUAUAGUAGACUUGUGCAUAUGGCAGCGUUUGUGGCAGUGCCAGUAAUGAUUUUGUAGCAGCUUUCGUAGCAAUGCUUAUGUGAUAGGCAGCUUGUGUAGUAGUGCUUGUGUGGCAGUGCUGGUAGUGCUUUAGUGGUAGUUUGUGUGACAAGGAAUUUUAUGGGGGCUAGAUAAAGCUAGGCUUUAUCUUGAUUGUAUUCUAAGUGGUAGGACACCUGUAAACAGGGAUUGGAAAUUCUCCGUUUGGACACCUUGGUCUGUUGACCUGACUAUGACUUGUGGACAUAGUUUUAUUUAAGUGAAGGAAAUUGAUUUUGUGAACUAGUUUUCUUAAGUUUUGGAUCGUAGUAUGGAGUUGGACUGAAGUGAAUUUGAGGUUGUUGUGUUUUAAGUUUAAGUAGGCGGGACACUUAAAGUUUUGAAAUGGAAUUUGAUCUUGGUCGGUAAUUAAUGGGGAGAUUUAGAGUCAACUCUCUGUAAAUGUUAUUAGAUGAGGGUGUGUUUCUGUGGUGAUGGAUUUUAGGAGAAAUGGUUAAGUGCAAUUUUGGGUAUUGAUUGUAGUGACAUUGUUGGGUAUCCAUAGUGGUUCAAGUGAAUUACUAUGCGAUAUGGAGUUUGAUUCGGUUUCUAAAUCGUAAAUUCAUAGGGUAUGAAUUGUGGUAAGUUUAAUGGAGAAAUUAAUAGAGGAAAUGGUUGAGAUUUUAU